UUCUACAGCAGCCACCCAACGUGGCGUGCUGUGCCUGGGGCGCUCUUCAACAGACACCUACCAAGUGCCUGCUGUGUGCCCAAAGCUGCAGGGAGGGGACGCAGAGCCUGUGUCCUGGCUUCUCUCAAGAAGGUCCCAGCCUGGGCCACGUGGGACACUCGGAGCCUAAGACCCAACAAAGAACCAAACAUGAGUCGCACAGGCCAGAUGACAACGCACAGGCACAGGCACCUGUGAAGCGACGGUGGCCAAUGUCUAAAACAGAGCAGGACUAUCAGCACGUGUGAUCAUUUUCAGCCACACAGACAGCACACAAACUCAAAUGACUUGCACACCAGAUGUUAACCCGCUGCGUGGACCCGAGCUGCCAGGAGAACACUCGGCUCUGUGCCGGCCUUUGUACGGCCUCUCCUAUCACCCCCGGUCAAACGCAAGGCAACUUUCUGACAAAACCCUAACCCAUGGCCAAUGUGGCAUAUGAGGCUUCUCGAAACGCAGAAUGUUUUCCCAACCACAACAAAAGCCUGGCAACGCCGAGGAUGCCACAGCUGCUAAGACCACAACUGUCACCCCAAGUUUUUCAUUCUGAAAGCUAUCUUCUCCAGAUCAACCUCCCUGUUCUCACGGACUGACCUUAGAACCAACAGGAGCACAUCGAUUAUUUGUCCAAUAGUCACGGGACACCAUCUAAAGAAAUGUCUACUAUCAACUUCCUGAAUCAGAGGAGUUGAAGCUACAAAUUGACCUGCCCACAAGGAGAAGGGAUGGGGCCAUUCGCAAUAUUUUGGGAGUCAUCUUCCUGACACAUAGCGACUACAAGUGUGGUAAUGGCUCAGUGCUUCAAACCAAAGUGGGAAGGGAUGGUUGAAUUCACAAGUCCACAACAUGGGUAUUUUCAAAUGCCGUGGCAUUGUUCUUGCAGAUGCCUGGCAUGGAUGCUAACGAGGGUCUAGUGAGCAGAAGUCCCUCUGUACCUGCCAUAGUGAACACCCCAUCUGAAGUGAUCAGCCCACAUCCUGCCCUAAGUAACUUACACCCCAACCUCCUGGUCAUUUGACCUCUUAGUUUACCUACUAAGCUCUCUGUUCACCAACAAACAUGAAGGGAGGCUGUAACCCAGGAGCUUGUGAACUGUGAGAUCCCAAAUCCCCAAUCUAUGUUGUCAACACCUGAGGUUUGGGGCACUUGGCACCCCUCCUGCCAUCUUCUUGCUGGAGCACCCCCCAGUUCCAAUAUCCUACCCAGCCAUAAAACUUGUUUGUGUCUUUGGUC